GACGAACGCUGGCGGCGUGCCUAAUACAUGCAAGUAGAACGCUGAAGAGAGGAGCUUGCUCUUCUUGGAUGAGUUGCGAACGGGUGAGUAACGCGUAGGUAACCUGCCUUGUAGCGGGGGAUAACUAUGGGAAACGAUAGCUAAUACCGCAUAACAAUGGAUGACACAUGUCAUUUAUUUGAAAGGGGCAAUUGCUCCACUACAAGAUGGACCUGCGUUGUAUUAGCUAGUAGGUGAGGUAAUGGCUCACCUAGGCGACGAUACAUAGCCGACCUGAGAGGGUGAUCGGCCACACUGGGACUGAGACACGGCCCAGACUCCUACGGGAGGCAGCAGUAGGGAAUCUUCGGCAAUGGGGGCAACCCUGACCGAGCAACGCCGCGUGAGUGAAGAAGGUUUUCGGAUCGUAAAGCUCUGUUGUAAGUCAAGAACGGGUGUGAGAGUGGAAAGUUCACACUGUGACGGUAGCUUACCAGAAAGGGACGGCUAACUACGUG
rnacentral:rRNA from 1 species